rnacentral:tRNA from 1 species
GCCCACGUAGCUCAGUGGUAGAGUUCUUGCAUGGUAAGCAAGCGGUCACCAGUUCAAUCCUGGUCGUGGGCU